CCUAUUGGUCCUGUCCCCGUCGUGAUGCCGCUGUACAGCUGAACGUACCGUCUUUCGGUUGAGCGAUGGACACUUUUGGUCAUCUGAAGGUGUGCAUUUGUAUCUCAACAGUUUACUUUUGAUACAACAUUUCUACGAGAGAGCAGAUAUUUAUGUUAGUUAUGGAACAUGGAAACAACCUCAAAUGGCUGUUUCAGGUUAUGGGUUCCUCAGGAGCAUCUCUUCAUGGUGCUCCACCUAGAUCACUCAGGUCCUGUGGCACUGGCCUCUUAGUUACCUAUGCCCCCCCCCCCCCCCCUCUGGAACAGCCUGCCAGAGGAGCUGAGGACAUCACAAUCUGUGGACAUCACAAUCUGUGAACACAUUUAAAGGUCCCAUGGCAUGAAAAUCACUUCACUUCAUGAGGUUUUCUAACAUUAACAUGAGUUCCCCUAGCCUGCCUAUGGUCCCCCAGUAUCUAGAAAUGGCGUUUGGUGUAAAACGAGCACUAGUUAUCCUGCUCCGCCUUUGAUUAAUGAAAGCUCAGACGCUCAGAUUUUGAAUUUGGCCCCAUAUGUCUUCAUAAGGUGCCAAGUUACCUCCUCUGCCUUGCCCGCCCAGAGAAUUUGGCCCGCCAAUGAGGUGUGUGUGUCUGUGUCUGUGUGUGUGUGUGUGUGUGUGUGUGUGUGUAAUUUCUUGAACGUCUUCCAGUACUGUAUUAGGGCCCCACUAACGGCUACAUAAAACCAUCAAUAAAGUAGCAUGCCAUAGUUUCUUUAAAAUAAACCUUAAAACAUAACUAGUUCGGCAUUCUCUUAUUCUAUUUUAUUUAGUUUUGUUUAUUUCUACUUUAUUGUUAAGCACCACACAAUAGCCAGGGGCUGCUGGAGGCCAUAGAGGCGGGGGAGGUUCACCCCUUAGACGGGGGGGGGGGCUGACUGAGUGAGAGACUGUGUAGGCUACAAAGAAGUUUAUCAUGUUGAUGAGUUUUUCGAUUCGUUUAUUUAUUUGACAAGUCGUUUGCUUGCCAUAACUUUCUCGUUGUGUUUCAAUGUUAUUGAGAUUUGGUCAAUUCAAUUAAUAAAGUUGUAUUCAAUCGUUGCUUUGAUUUCAGUCCAUGGUUAAAAGUGGAACUUAAGGUUCAAGAUGUUCAGUCUCCCCUCACGUCAAUCACCACAGGUCCACAGCACCACGUUCAGUGUGGCCAACUUAGCGAUUUUGUCGCUAUAUUUAGCGACUUUUCAGACGCCUUUUUUUUUUUUUUAAAGCGACAAGCGACAAAUCUAGCUUAUUUUUCUGUUAUUGGUGACUUUUGGCGACUUUUUGAGGUGAAAGCACGUAGGCCUAUCGCUAUUAUCUCUUUACAACGAGCAGCGGGUGCUGGCGCGGCCCCUCCCCCGUCUCAAAGCACUUACAGGCGGCCCAGUCCUCGCGCAGCAGUCCCUCCCAGCUGCUCUGUUAGCAGGAGCUAACAGGAGACGUUCACGCCUCGGCAUCCGGGCUGCAAAUGAAUCCGAGUCCCGGCCAGCAAGCCGCCGCCGAUUGAUCCCGCCCCCUGAUGUACAGUCAGGGCGGGAUAAUGUAAUAUUUUCUUU